CGAGCUUAUUAUCCCAGGUCGGAACAAGUUGAUAGGAAGUUCUUUUCCAAAUCCUUGCCGUUGGCAAGGAAG
rnacentral:tRNA from 1 species